UAGCAUAUCAAUAAGCGGAGGAAAAGAACCAACAGGGAUUGCCCCAGUAACGGCGAGUGAAGCGGCAACAGCUCAAAUUUGAAAUCUGGCUCUCAGGGCCCGAGUUGUAAUUUGUAGAGGAUGCUUUUGGCGAGGUGCCUUCCGAGUUCCCUGGAACGGGACGCCACAGAGGGUGAGAGCCCCGUAUGGUCGGACACCGAGCCUCUGUAAAGCUCCUUCGACGAGUCGAGUAGUUUGGGAAUGCUGCUCAAAAUGGGAGGUAUAUGUCUUCUAAAGCUAAAUAUUGGCCAGAGACCGAUAGCGCACAAGUAGAGUGAUCGAAAGAUGAAAAGCACUUUGAAAAGAGGGUUAAAAAGUACGUGAAAUUGUUGAAAGGGAAGCGCCUAUGACCAGACUUGCGCCCGGUGAAUCACCCAGCGUUCUCGCUGGUGCACUUUGCCGGGCACAGGCCAGCAUCAGUUCAGCGCGGGGGAGAAAGGCUUCGGGAAUGUGGCUCCCUCGGGAGUGUUAUAGCCCGCUGCGUAAUGCCCUGCGCCGGACUGAGGUACGCGCAUUGCAAGGAUGCUGGCGUAAUGGUCAUCAGCGACCCGUCUUGAAACACGGACCAAGGAGUCGUCUUCGUAUGCGAGUGUUCGGGUGUCAAACCCCUACGCGUAAUGAAAGUGAACGUAGGUGAGAGCUUCGGCGCAUCACCGACCGAUCCUGAUGUUCUCGGAUGGAUUUGAGUAAGAGCAUACGGGGCCGGACCCGAAAGAAGGUGAACUAUGCCUGUAUAGGGUGAAGCCAGAGGAAACUCUGGUGGAGGCUCGCAGCGGUUCUGACGUGCGAAUCGAUCGUCAAAUAUGGGCAUGGGGGCGAAAGACUAAUCGAACCUUCUAGUAGCUGGUUUCCGC
rnacentral:rRNA from 1 species